AUUGAACGCUGGCGGCAUGCUUUACACAUGCAAGUCGAACGGUAACAGGCCGCAAGGUGCUGACGAGUGGCGAACGGGUGAGUAAUGCAUCGGAACGUGCCCAGUCGUGGGGGAUAACGCAGCGAAAGCUGCGCUAAUACCGCAUACGAUCUAUGGAUGAAAGCGGGGGACCGUAAGGCCCCGCGCGAUUGGAGCGGCCGAUGUCAGAUUAGGUAGUUGGUGGGGUAAAGGCUCACCAAGCCAACGAUCUGUAGAUGGUCUGAGAGGACGACCAGCCACACUGGGACUGAGACACGGCCCAGACUCCUACGGGAGGCAGCAGUGGGGAAUUUUGGACAAUGGGCGCAAGCCUGAUCCAGCAAUGCCGCGUGCAGGAAGAAGGCCUUCGGGUUGUAAACUGCUUUUGUACGGAACGAAACGGCUCUGGUUAAUACCUGGGGCUAAUGACGGUACCGUAAGAAUAAGCACCGGCUAACUACGUGCCAGCCGCCGCCGUAAGAC
rnacentral:rRNA from 1 species